rnacentral:pre_miRNA from 1 species
GCAUAAUUCAAGAUAUUCGAUAGGGUUUUUGGUAACUAAUGGAAUGUCGUGAAUUAUGGUC